GGGGGAGUGCGCUUUGCUUUCCCGGGGUCUGGGGCUAAUUCCUCCUCUCUUCCCCGUAAACUCAGCUCCUCGAGCUCAACACACAAAAGGGAGCGAGAGGUUCGAACCUUUGGGAAAAGUCUGUUAUAUAUAGUAGGUUUCGAGGCGAGUAAGAGAAAAAAACAAUAAACACCACAGCUCUUUCCAGCUAGAAUAUUAGGCACCACGAGAAAAAUAUUUGCCAAGCAGUUUUCGGAGGACAGGAUAGCCAUCACUGGAGGCGUGUGGGACCCCAGGACACAACUGAAAACGGGUCUUCGUGGUUUGAUGGUCCUGUGUUAGAAAAUCAGGAUGAUCUGACUACCUGGGUCUGGAGACGGGCAUCUUGUUUUCUGGCAGAAUUGAGGAAAGCAAGGCUGCUUUGGGCUGUGUGUAAAUUGUAAACUGGUUCUCAGAACAGACUCCAAGUCACAGUGAGUAUUGAGUUUUGAUUGUCAUCUGGGCUUGGUUAUGCUUGUCACCUGUGCUAUGGUACUCAACAGCUACUUUUGAUGGGUAUGGGAGAUCUUAUUUACCCAUUAGUUUUAUUUCAAAUCCUUCACUUAGAGCCAUUAUAAACAAGCUCCUUACAUUAUCCUUGGAGAAAGAAAGGUGUUUUCUUGGUAUGAUUUAGAGAAAUUGAGCAGAACGUUUUGAGACAUUAAAAAAAAAAAAAAGAUGAUUUCCAGCCACUACCUUCAGAAAAACAAGUGUCAACAUUUAAUUUUGAUCCAUAUGCUGCCUGCUUUUGGCCUGUAUUACCCUGAGACCUUUUUUUUUUUUUUAGUUUAGAAACCUUUUUGGCCUAGCUCAGAGUUUCCCCCCAAAACACUGAUUUUUUUUCCACACUUUUCUCACUUAUUUAAAAUGGAAAUAAAUAUCCCUGGAGCUUAAAAUAGAGAAAUGAUGGGGGGGGGUGCAUAAUCAUUUGUUUAUAGCACUCUAUCACUGUUUUGAAUAACAGGGUUUUCACUUCCUAUGAAACCUUAGCAUGAGGGAAAGCAGCAGCUGGACCAGGAAGGGGAUGCAGGGAGGAAAGCACUUGAGUGUUUGUAAACUCAGGGUGGCUGGCCCACCGGGCUGCUGUACUUAGCUGUCUUUACUACCUAAGGCUAGAAGUGGAAAAACUUGAUUUGCGUGUUGUGCCUGCAUUUUUUUUUUUUUUUUUUUUCUCCACACCGCCCUCUGUACACCUGACCAUGCCGAAGCCUAUCUGAAGCCGGCUUGACGGCAGGGAGAGCUGGAGAGCGGAAGAAUGUGCUGAGAAAGGGAGUGCUCGGUACUUUUCCAUUCACAUCUCCACAGUGGCUUUUCUUGUUUAUUUCAACCUCCACCAGCGGAACCCUGUCAGCUGCCUGAAAUCCGAGUCAUUAAACUGUUCCCUGAGUCUAUUUAUGAGAAAAGUCUCAGACAAAUUUCAACAGAAAGGCAUCCUACAAGAGACGUCACCAGUAUUCCACAGAACUAUCAAGGAAAGUCUGAGAAAUUGCAGCAGCUGGGAGUAACCUCAGAAGAUAUGACAACUUAAUGUAAUGUAGUAUCCUGGAUGGGAUCGUGAAACAGAAAAAGAUAAGGUAAACCCAGACAAAUCUGAAUAAAUGAGGAGCUUUAGUUAAUAAUAUUGUAUCAGUGUUGUUCCAUUAGUUGUUACAAAUGUACCAUAGUAAUAUAAAAUGUUAAUAAUAAUGGGAAACUGGGUAUAGGGUUUUUCUCUGCGCUAUCUUCUCAAUUUUGCUGUUUAAAAAAUAUUUGGGGAGGGCAUAUCUUUAUUUAUUUAUUUUUCAAUACCAGAAACCUCCAAAAAUGAGCUAGGUCUCUUGAAAUCUGAGAGAUUUUCUUCCCAGUCAACCAUGCCCCCCAGAUAGAGUCAGGAAAAUGAGGGAACCUGCGUUUAUUCUUUUAGUUUACUAAAUUGAAAGCAAUUUAGCUAAUUUCUCUAUGUCACCAUCUGGACACAGAGCUGUGAGGAGAACGCGUAGGAAGCACCAAAGGCCAAGUGUUGCCGUGGUGGUGGAUGGCUCAAGGCACCUCAUCAAUCUGCUUACUCCACAUUUCUUUCUGAAAAUCCUCCACGGAGACAAGGCCCUGAAAGAUCUAGCCAUCAGUCCAUAGUAGACAUAUAAUACUUAGGGAUUCAUCACUGAGGUUGGGGGAGCCUCAAGACCUUCCUAGAAUGUCUGGUAUCUCAUUGUACAACUCCAAAAGAACUGUGGAUCUCAUCAGAGUUUAACUCUGGGUCUAGAGAAGAACGCUAACUGGACCCUAUAACUCUAUGAAUUUGUCUUCAUUGUCUGAAUAUGACCCCAUUACCUAAACUAGAAAAAUCCAGAGAGGGAAAUGGUUUGCCAAGACUAUCCCACAAAUUAGUGGUAGAGUUGCUUCCCAUCAACCAGUCCACCCUGAAUCAUUUAUUUUGCUGUAGUAUUCCCUUUAGUAAACUAAGGACUGCUAUUGCAUUGAUAUACAUUAUUUCAGAAGUGCCUCAUUCAUUUCUAACCACCUGUCAGUUACCAGUGGUGUCCAGUUCCAAUGUGAGCUUAAGUGUCUCUUCCUUCUUUCCCUUCACCUUUUCCCACUUGCAUCAGCCUCUCUGCCAAGUGGUUAUAGAUCUUUGAACCAACACUGAUAUUCACUAUGGAGGCUGACAUCUAAAUUCUUCUUGGUGAAAUGAGGGACUACAUCACAGGAUUCCCAUGAGAAUCAAGUACCAUAGAGGGGAAAGUACUUUGGAAAUUAUAAUGCACAGUUCAGAGUGGUCGUUGAAUGUGGAGCAAAUGGACAAACUAAUGAGUGAAUCAUCACAGAGAAGCAAAGCCAUCAGGUUAUUCCAUAACUGAUUUUGUGACUCACGUUUUAUCUGGGGAACAAUGUAUUUGAAGUGUCCUGCCUUGACUCUGUAACCAUCCUUAAAAAAUGGUUAUUUCACUUCCCGAAAUAUUUUAACCCUUUCAGUACAGGAAGACAUAAAUUACUGGGGAGGAUUCAUACUCAUCCAAAGAGAAUAAAAAAGAUCAGAAAGUCUUUAUGUCCUUGAAAUGCAGAAUUGGAAAUGAACCAUCUCCCAGUAGUGGGAACUGAAAUCCACUAUUAGAUCCUCCUUUUUGGUACCUUCUUCCUCUUCCUCCUCUUUCUACCUUAGCCCCUCCCUACCCAUCCCCUUCACCCAGCUGGAAAAAAAUCAUUUGUUUUGAGCCAACUUUAGUCUUAGAAAAAGGUAUAAACAAAGCACAAAUUUAUCAGGGCUGUUUUCUAGGAGCAACAAGGUGGAUUUCUAUAAAUUUUUUAAGUCUUGAGUUGAUGGGUGAGUUACUAAAAUAGGGAGGUAGGAUAACUUUCUACCAAAGGCCUGACCCAAAUGACAGGGGGAACCUUGGGCCAGCUCUGUCCCCUAAGAGAAUCUGUGCAGCUCUCUAUCCUUCCUACCUCCAGCUCUCUAUCCUUCCUACCUCUGCAACAAAUGCGCAACAGAUCUCACGAAUGUCGCGGUGAAUAUAAAAAUGGAUUAGGAGCAAGUUGGUCUUGAUACGGAGGAGGAAAGAAAACAUGAGCAUGGGUGCUGGAGAGAAGAAACUUGGAACCUUUUCUGCUGGUUCCCUACUUAUUGAAAAGAUGAUGCAGUCAUCUCAAAUGAACAUACCUGGGCAAUUUGCUAUCGAGGGGGUCCAUGCCUUACAGUGGGGACUGAGCUGCCAAGGGACUUUCCUGUGCAGCUCCAUCCUACUCAGUUUAGCACCUGUGGCCCCUGCAAUUAUUUAGUAACCGGACCAUCUCUCCUCCCGAAUGUGAGUGCCGGAAAGUCAGGAGCUACUUUUACUUUCCUUGAUUCAAAACCCUCAUGUUUGGGCUUCUCUGGUGACCACGAUAAACGUUUAAAUCCCCUGCGAUCAUGUAUUAUAACCUAAACAACCAAAAGGAAGACAGAGAAGGAAGAGGAGAGAGAAGAAAGAAAGAGAUCUUCCUGUGCAUCGUUUUUCAAGUGGUCAGUUCUCCGCUGGAGGGAAAGACAAGCCUGGUACAAGACCAAGCCGGUGAUCAUUAGCCAGCUCUGUGCCUUGAGCAAUGCGUGUGUUGUUAUACUAAUCACUUGAUUGAUGCAGGUUCGGUUGGGAAAUACUACAUUUUAAGGAAGUGCAACCUUUAACUUCUGAGUUGGAGCAGGCAGCAUGCCAAGGGAAGGAGGACUGGAUUAAACUAGAGAACAAUUCUCUGAGCCAUGGGCAUUGAGCUGGGCACAAACCAAGCCGGGUCCCGGGAUUCUCGGAGGAUCCAGGAAGAAGUGGGCAGGCAGGUAAGGGUCGGGCACCACAGCAAAUACCAGCUAGGUGAUCUUGCCCCCUCCUGUGUGCCAAGUCCAGGUCUGGGCAUGUCAGUUACCUCUACUGAACUUUUUUGCACACUGCUGCUGUUCAUAUUUAAUCAAAAUUUAUAACCCAUGGCUCAGAAACCUGGAAUAUUUGUGUCUUUAGCCUUAAAAGACUCAAUUAGCCCAUGUGCACAGUUGGCCUCUCUCUCUUCCUCAGCAGGGUUGAAAAACUUGUUUCUUUUUUUUUUUAAUGUAAAGAUAAAACCCAUCACCCACAUUCCAGAAUUAGCCUGAUAAGAUUAGGUAGGAUCAGAAAAUCGUAAAAUUGUUGGGUUCAGAAGGUCUUUAGAGAUCACACCAUAUCUGAAUCUGCAACAUAACACCCCUGAAAAAGUGUCCAUCAUACUCCUUCUUAGAUAUCUCCAGGCUGGGAACUUUCUGUCUCCCAAGGUGACCCAUUCCAUGGUUGGUCAGAUUUAGAAGUUGGGUGUUUUAAACGUAUUUAUUGGUUCAAUUAUAAGGAGGAAUUUAUCACAGCAAGAGAGCACUCACCAAAGACAUUUGGGGCUGUGUGUAGGUUGGUGACCUCAAUGGAGGCAAACAGGAUCCAUGACCACAGACUAUACCCCAAAUCCCAACUCAUAUAAGUCCUUGGUCAGCAGAGUGAACAGAAAAAUAUUGGAUGCUGCACACAGUGCCAGGACUAGAGAUAUAUUUACAAACGAUAGUCUUAGGUGUUUAUGAUAAAGUUCGUGUGAAAAUCCUUCAUUGGUCACAGAGAAAGGAACUUGAACUGAUCUCCUUUGACUUUCACUUUUAAGAGAACAUAUGAAAUUCAGGUCAGUAUCAUAGUUUUUCAGACACCAGAUAGACAUUUAAUCUUUCCCACCAGCUUAGUAAUUUCUAUAGGUUUUCUUCCUCUUGAACCGAUACCUAGGUCGGAAAAUCAUAGACUUGGGCGCCUAGUACAGUUUUAGGACUAGAAGAUUCCCAGAAGAAAUCUUACCUGAUUUCUUCAUCUUAAAACUAGGAAACUAAGGCCCAGAGAGAGGAAGCAACUGACCCAAAGUCACAGAGCCCUUUUGGGAUGGAGUCAGGACUAAAUCACUGGUCUCCCUACUCCUAGUAGAGUGCUCUGCUCUUCAUUAUCAAUGGUGAUAUGCUGAGUAUGUACAAAGGGUGAUGAUCUCUCUAGUGUGCUUUGGGACAGGUGCUACAGAAAGUUUUAUGGAAUAGAGGAACGAGCGUGCCUCUCCCGUCUCCCCAUGUGGCAACCUUGUGGAGGAAGGAUUGCUAAAAUGCCUUUUAAGAUGUCAAUACACAAGGACAACAACAAAAAUACACUGUGAACACUGUCUAAUUGUAUCUGCAUGCAAAUAUGUCCGAAUGGUCCUCAUCAUAAGACCUACUAGUUACUGUGCAUCUACCAUGUUCCAAGCACUUUACAUAACUUAUUAGUUCUAAUCCUCCCAAAGACUCUGUGAGGUUAACGUUAUUGUUUUUCAUAUGAAUAAACUGAGGCUCAGAUGAUGCAUGGCCAGUGUGGCAGAGUCAAGAUUUGGGGCCCAGUCUUCCCGGCUCCAAAGCCUGUGUUGUUUUCACCAUAGCCACCACCUUCUCUAGAUUAUCUCAAACCCACUCCUGUGUCCCACCCACCAACAAGCCCCAAAUAUUUUCUAUCGCUGGUCCUGGUGUGGAAUCAGGUUGAGAUUUUUUUUUUUUUAAUUCUUUGACGAUUCAACUUAGUUAUCUCCUCAGGCAGUUUGGGAGGUAUCUCCCCUUUCUCUGGUGUGUUCUUUUAUUUAAGGCAUCUUAUAGAAAACAGGGCAAAGUAAGACCCUAGCAUCUGGUGGUAAGUUGCAAUGUUUGAUAUGUAAACAUAAAUAAGUAGAAAUAAUAACAUUCCAAAAAAUGUAUUCAUUAGUCAUAAAUUUAAAAACUGUUGUUUGUACCAAAACAUCUUUAUAUUAAAAGAUUAUGAAAUAUAAAAUCAGAGCUUUUUUUUUUUUUUUUGCUGUAGAAUUAGGUCCAGCACCUGGUUAUAAAUUCCUUGCAUAAAUAAAAAAUUUUCUUUAAUAUAUAUGUCUUAAAAAUAUACAUUUGUUUUUUUAAAUAGAAAAAAAAUACAGGGAUUAAAUUUGCAUUUGCCUUAAUAAAGAAAUAUCUACUUUCUAGGUUAGAGUAACAUUUAAAUGCCAAAAAAAAGAUCAUGGAUUCUGAUAGAUACAGUGGUCUGGUAAAGUGAAAGAAGAUAUAACUGUGUGACUUUGGCAGAAUUAUUCUAUGCUCCUCUUAAAGUCUUGGGUUAAAGUCCACAAACAUGGAACAUCACAGUCCUCUUGGAGCUCUGCUGCAGAGGACGACUGUAUGGCAGUUUAAAGAAGCCACAGCCCCGGGCCAACAAAAGUACUGUCUUCUUAAAAAUGAAGUAGUUAUA